rnacentral:rRNA from 1 species
AACGAACGCUGGCGGCAUGCCUAACACAUGCAAGUCGAACGAGACCUUCGGGUCUAGUGGCGCACGGGUACGUAACGCGUGGGAAUCUGCCCUUGGGUUCGGAAUAACAGUUGGAAACGACUGCUAAUACCGGAUGAUGACGUAAGUCCAAAGAUUUAUCGCCCAAGGAUGAGCCCGCGUAGGAUUAGCUAGUUGGUGAGGUAAAGGCUCACCAAGGCGACGAUCCUUAGCUGGUCUGAGAGGAUGAUCAGCCACACUGGGACUGAGACACGGCCCAGACUCCUACGGGAGGCAGCAGUGGGGAAUAUUGGACAAUGGGCGAAAGCCUGAUCCAGCAAUGCCGCGUGAGUGAUGAAGGCCUUAGGGUUGUAAAGCUCUUUUACCCGGGAUGAUAAUGACAGUACCGGGAGAAUAAGCGCCGGCUAACUCCGUG